rnacentral:lncRNA from 1 species
AGGAAAUCUCCCCUGGAUGCCAAGGGAAAUGGACCAGAAAGCCUGACGCCUUGAGACCCUGGGAGGUCCAGAGUGUGUGUGAGAAUUUGGAGCAGAGGACAGAUGAGGUGGUGGAUAGAAAGUUGGAAUCAGGUUCAUAUCCUGCUGGUGACUAACUCUGUGAGGAAGAGACAAAACCAAUGGAUCCUCAGGUGGCAUAUAUGAUACGGAAUAUCACUGGCUUUUGGAUACUAUUACAUAUGUAUUGUUCAUUCACGUUUUUCAAAAUUAGAAAAAGACUAAAGAAAAACGCUUUUAUGUGGCACAUGCAUGGGAUCCUGUCAGUGACUUAUUCAAUGGAAGUGGGUGCUUGUAUUUGUUAUUUGUGGACAAAGCACAGUUGUCCAG